rnacentral:rRNA from 1 species
UACGAAGGGGGCGAGCGUUGUUCGGAAUUACUGGGCGUAAAGGGCGCGCAGGCGGCCCUUGAAGUCAGGCGUGAAAGCCCCGGCUCAACCUGGGAGGUGCGCUUGAUACUCGAGGGCUUGAGUGCGGGGAGAGGAGAGUGGAAUCCCAGUGUAGAGGUGAAAAUUUUCGUAGAUAUUUUGGGGAAAGAACACCGGUGGCGAAGGCGG